UACGGAGGUGGGCAAGCGUUGCUCGGAAUCACUGGGCGUAAAGGGCGCGUAGGCGGGGGAGGUAAGUCGGGUGUGAAAUCCCUCCGGCCCAACCGAGGAACUGCGCCCGAGACUGCUUCUCUUGAGUCCCGGGAGAGGAAGAUGGAAUUCCCGGUGUAGCGGUGAAAUGUGUAGAGAUCGGGAGGAACACCGGUGGCGCAAGGCGGCUCACUGGACCGGCAUUGACGCUGAGGUGCGAAAGCGUGGGGAGCAAACAGG
rnacentral:rRNA from 1 species